UCUCUGUCACCACCUAUAUCUUGGCCCCUUCUCCACCUUCCACAUUUAGGGGAAGCAGAAAACGUACGAAGCGAGUGGCAGUCAGAGAAGACCGGGAAGGUGCCUGUUACAGGAGACCCCGUAUUGAAGACUAAAGGAAACCAGCCGACAUGAUGGUGUCCUGGAAAGCAUCGAAGAGGACGCAUUUACUCUACCCCGAAACCCACCAUGGCUACUACAGACAAGGAAACCAAGAUGCUGAGGACCAGGAUUUUUACUGGAUAUGCAUGAGGAACAUGCUGUGGAACCCAGGCCACUCCAGUAACCACCCGAGUCCAGUUCAUCCUGCUCAAAUGUACGCAUGUCUGAGCUAUCUGAUGGGACAUGAGCAACCUCCUGAUGGCCACGUUACAGAAGAGAAUGACUUUCCCUCCUCCAGCAACUGUCAGCUGCUGAGAGCUCCUUCCUCCAGCGUUGCUGGAAUACUCACUGACUUGAUCUCAUUCAGUUAACCACAACUGAUGUGAGCUGAUGUGUGCAACGUGCAUGGUCAGUCCAGAAGUCAGCCUCUCACAGACCUCCUCGUCCACCAGUUUGCACUCUCCCUCCAUGUUUCCAGGGUCUUGGGUAAGGGUGGGGGGAGGUUGAUACAGAUGAUCCAUCCACAGCGGAGCACUCGGGGUUACUUAGACUUAGCACUUAACCCUUAUGCAAAAAGAGGCUUCCUUGACCAAAGUUGACAGCAACACCAAUCUAUGAAGAUAAACAUAAAUAUUUAGAAGGUGAUUUGAUGCCUCCUAGGACUUAUCACCUCCUCAGUCAUGGACUUUUGCUCAAGUUUGCAGUAUUAGACAUAACAUCCCUCCUGUGGAGCAAGACUCACCCAGUCAGAAAGCAGUUGGUUACUCCUAUAACUGUCAGGCCGUUACUGCACCAGUGGGCACAUCUUGCCAGACAGGUUGGUAUUGUAACCUGCAAGGUCCAGAACUGAGUGAUUCCACUGAUGUCUGCAUAAUACCUUCUGGUACUAGGUAAGCUACCCGGAUUACCUUCUCUCUGUCCUGCAUCCAAAGUGAGCGGUGUCUUCGGUAAUAGAGUCUUAUCUAGUUAGAGUGGGCAACUAAGCAAUGGGAAUAGCCUGUGUUGUUUUAGGUGUCUCUGUGGCCUCUCUGACCACUAAGCUGUAGGAAGGUAGCCCUUGCCUGAGACCAAGAUUUUCACUCAGUCACUUUCAUGACUUCUCAAGGCAAAAUUAUCCAGGCCACCCUGUCUAAAUAAACAAACAAACAAACAAACAAACAAAAACAAUAACAACAAAAAACAAACAAACAAAAACCCAAAGAAACAAACAAACAAACAAAUGAAAGGUCUUAGACACCAAAGAGAAUACAAUGAAGCCCCACUUCCAUGUAUUGAUUGACAAAGGGGGUGAAGGCAACUGUACAAGUCUGGAGUACUUCUGUGAGUAAAAGACUGAACAACAGGCGUCAGCUGGGACAGAUCAGGCAAGUGAGCUGUAAAUUGAAUGUAUCUCCCUCAAACUUCUGUGUUGAAACCCUAAAUCCCGGGCUGGAGAUUUGACUCAGCUGGCACAGGGUUUGCAUGGCAUCAGAACAACAGGCGUCAGCUGGGACAGAUCAGGCAAGUGAGCUGUAAAUUGAAUGUAUCUCCCUCAAACUUCUAUGUUGAAACCCUAAAUCCCGGGCUGGAGAUUUGACUCAGCUGGCACAGGGUUUGCAUGGCAUGUCCAGAGCCCUAGGUCCCACCCCCAUGCUGCAUAAAUCAGGCAGGGUGGGACACACCUGCAAUCUAACACCCCUGGGAGUUAGAGGCUGGAGAAUAAGAAGUUCAAGGUCAUCCUUGACUACAUAAUGAAUUCUAAGCUACACAGACCACUCCAAACCCUGUCUCCAAAGAAGGAAAUGAGGGGGAGGAGGAAGAAGAGGAGCCAUAACCACGCUAAGGGGAUAGUACUGGUAGGUGUAGUCUUUUGGGAGAUGACCAGUCCAUUAGGUGGAACACUCAGGACUGGGGUUAGUAUCUUUAUCAGAGACCUAGAAGGCAAGGCUCAGCAUUCCCUGGAGAGCACAGGGAAGGCAUCUUCUCCAAACUGGGGAGCUCUCCUUGGACACCAGAGUUUCACCUUUGUAGUUAAGGUUGUACACUGUGCAGCUCCAGGAGACACCAUUCCCUCUGCGUUCUGCCGCACAGUACUACCAUGGAGCUGUACAAUGCACCUCUGCCUCACUCUCUAAAAUGUCUUGACUCUUGGCUUGCCUCUCAGCUUGGAGAUACGUGAGAACCUAGGUGAAGAUUUCCUGAGGUACACCCAAGUAAAAGUAGCUAUGUUUAUGGGUAAUUAGUGGAUAUUACUUAUGAGAAAGAAUCUUAGUUAUACAGGAAAGAUUCUUUUAUGAUAGACUUCAAGUUAAAAUUCCAUGGUUAUUAUAAAAAUGGCCUUUGAGUUGUUGGCCAGGACUGUCCAAGAGACUCCUAAAACAUAUACCCUAUGGUAAUCCUUGAUUACUCCUCAAAGGUGAAUGUAAGUCCCAUUGCUGAAGACACCACAUCCUUCAGAAGCAGGGUCCAGAGACCUCUGAGCUAGAACUGACAGCAGUGUUCCCUCCCUGGGAACUAGCUUUCACAGUACCAGAAGGCACCAUGCAAGCUUCUGAAGGAGUGAGGCAACCAGAAGGCCUACCCGGCUAUGAUGUCAACGAACCACCUCAGUGGCCCACAUGGCAAGAUAAUCCUACGGGAGAAGUAGUGACGCAUGGUAAGGCAGUAAGAACAGCUCUCUAACUGGCGUAAAACCUGCUCCACAAGGCAGAAACCAUGCCUGGUACUAGAAACCUAGCUAACUACCCAGUGCUAGUGAAAUCAAGGUUAUUGGAGAAGAACCUAAAACUAUUACUUUACUAAACCAGUGUGCUCCCUGACAACAGUCUACAAACAUUUGUCCUCAUACCCACAGAUAAGUGUAGUCUUUACCACUACCCCAUUAAAGACUUUCUGCAACAGAGAGCAGUAUAGAAAACCACAACCUAUAAACUGCAGAGCUGUGGAGCCCAGUUUCACUGGAUGCAUCUACAAAACACUCCUACACCUAAGGCUCAGGGGGCAUUGCAGAAGAGGGGGCGGAAAGACUGUAAGGGCUGGAGGAACAGGGACUUUGCGGUGAGAGUGUCUCUCCUAGUGACAUCAGAAGAUACACCCCUAAACUCUCACCAGCAUGAUUGCCCAGACGUGAGCUAAACCAGGAAGACACCAAUGCCCAUGCCAAACAAACCAUGUAGAAAGAACUACAGGCAACUGAGAGAAGCUGAGAGCCGGAGAGGUGUUUCCUCAGGGAAGAGCACACCGAUUGGUUGUACAGUGCAAAUGGUCAGCCCUGAAAACAUACACACAAGAAACAUCAUAUGGACUCAAGAGAUUAUAUUUAGAAAUACAUAUGUAUGUACAAAUACAUAUAUGCAUGCCGUAACAAUUAAAACAAGAGGCCAUACAUUAGAAGAACAGGAAGGGUUUAGAGGGAGGAAAGGGAAUGGAGAAAUGUUGUAAUUAGAUUAUAACCCCAAAAAGAAACAAAAACAAACCAACAAAAAGAAUAUGAAACAAAGCAAAUCUGUUGCUGCCAACCCUAUCUUCAGGCUGUGCAGAGCACAGGGGAAGUUAGGUUGAUGUCUAAAAGGUGCUCACGCCCGUGGUGUCCAUAUGUCAUGAUUUCCCCACUCACCCACUGAUGUGUGUGUGUUUUAGUAAGUGUGAGUGUGUCAGUCUCUCUUUGGCAUGUUGACUCUAUGUCCUUUGGUUGUCUCCCUGGGAGUACGAGAGCUCACUCAGGAUAAUCUGAGUUAGUUUCCUAUGGAGCCUGUGUGCUGCUCUCCAGCCUGUAUUUCAGUUACAGUUUAGCAGUAUUUGUGGACAAUCCUUUUUCUGCAUAUCCUUGCCAAUCACUGCUUUCAUUAUUUUUAUAUUUUCCAUUCUGACUCAGAUAGAUAAUAUCUCAUUGUAGUUUUGAUUUGCGUUUCCCCAAUGGCUAAGGAUAUUGAGUACUUUUUUCAUGAUCUGUUUUUGAUCAUUUUUAUUUCUUCUUGGGAGAGGUAUCUUUUCAGAACAUAUUUUUUCUUUCAACUAUUUGGGGGUUUUCUUGAGUUUCUUAUGUAUUCUGUAUAUGUAUCUUUAUUUAUCUAAUUUAUUUAUUUUAUUUUUACAUCCCAACCAAAGUUUCUCCUCUUCUUAUUCCCCGCCCCCAUGCCGUCUACUCCUCCUCCACUGUUUUCUUCAGACGCAAGUGGGCCCCCCAUGGAUAUCAUCCAGCCAUAGUAUAUCAAGUUGCAGUGAGACCAGGCACCCCUCUUGUAUUAAGGCUGGGUGAGGCAAUGCAGUAGAAGGAAUGGGUCCUAAAAGAAGGCAACAGAAUCAGAGACGUCCCUGCUCUCACUGUUAGGAGUCUCACAUAACGACCAAGUUACACAACUGUAACAUAUGUGCA